rnacentral:lncRNA from 1 species
UAACUCAGUUUUUUGUGUUUUCAAGCAUUUACUCCGGCUGUUGGCUCUGCUACUCCAUAUUCAAUAACCUGCUAAUACUCCUUGGAGUUUAAGACGUUCUCCAUUAGAAUUCUCUAAUGAUUAUAUUGACCACCGAAGUAGGGAAUUGCUAGUUACAUAAAGUUAUUGGUGGUGAUCAUGAUUUACUGUUUGCCGUAAGAAGAGUAAAUAAAACUACUGCUUUUCUCUUUCAUAUUUCACA